rnacentral:lncRNA from 1 species
AGCAAUGUAGCUUGGAGUGAACAAGAUGAACAGAGCCACCUUCAGUCUAAUCCCUAAUGAGGAGAAAGGCCCUUUGACUGGAGCCAAGGAGCCAGCAAAGAACCUCAAGAAGACAACUUGGAUCAUGACCAGAAGAUAAAAAGAAAACAAAAAGAAUGUGGCAUAUAAGGGGUGUGAUACCUGGAGGUAUUGGAUCUGACUCAUAUUUAUAAAAAUGAGACCAGCUUUCACAAAACACAAGUUAUCUCAGACAGUCAUCAAGCUUGGAGCCAUCAUGCUGUCGAACUAGAAAUUCUCCUUUUCCCCAUUCUCCUUUCUGACAGGUAACAAAGGAUUGGUGAAUUAUGAUUUUCCCAAGUUGGAAGCACUAAUUUUUAUCUAUAGAGUUCAUCCUUAUGAAUAUAUAAGGAGUUAAACAUUGCAUAUUUAAUGUGGAUUAUAAUGGGAAAGUGACUCAUGAACCAAAAUGGCCACUUUUAAGGACUUGGUUUCAAACUGAGCUGGAGCCUCCCGAUGCACUUUGUAGGAUUUGGGGGAAGCUGUGCUGCAGGGCCUGCUUUGGGAGGCCAGGAUGACAUGUAGUAGAAGGAUAUCACCUUACUGUUGAUAUCUCUGAAGAC